rnacentral:misc_RNA from 1 species
CGAUCCUCAUAGGAGCCUCCA